AUGUCACACAAGUUGAGGAAUAUAUUUCUCUUCACACUCUUCAUUCUCGAGUGCAGAUCAGAGGACACAGUUGAUCAGCCAGACAAACAUGUGACUGAAGCUGAAGGAAGAUCAGUGACAUUACAGUGUAAAUAUAAAACAGAUUCAACAGGAGAAGAUUUAUUCUGGUACAUCCAGAGAGCAAAUGACUUUCCUAAAUACAUCCUGAGGAGAAGCAAAUAUGGAGGAGAAAAUGGCACUGAGUUCCAGGAGAGAUUUCACUCUGAACUUUCAUCAAAUUCAGUUCCUCUGAGGAUCAAGGAUCUGCGUGUGUCUGACUCUGCUGUGUAUUACUGUGCUCUGAGGCCCACAGUCACAGGAAACACAUCAGAUCUAUACAAAAACCUGUUACACAGAGACACGGACGAACACAGAUAG